UUGAACGGCUCUCCGGGAGAAUGCACUGCUCACCCCCACCUCGCCCCCCAUACUGGGCGGGACGGCACCCAGGGCACGCUCCACGCCUGUCCCAGGACUGCACGGUCCCCCCACCACCUCCUGAGACUGCCCUUGGAGGCUUGCUCCCCUUCAGCUGUCCCAAUGAGAACAAGCAAGGAAUGGAAGGGAAGGAACCCAGGCCUCCUCUAUCAGCAGGGUCUCUGGACUUCCUAGCUGCAAGGAGAAAAGGCAAGAAGGCCUCCUCUGGAGGGAAAUCUGUGUGUGAAUGGGGAUGCCUAAAAGGAGGCCAAGGAGGAAAAGACGGCGGUGUCCCCCAGUCAUUCUGAAGACCCCGCCUGCCAGCCGGUCACCGGCCCCUUGGUGGCCCACCGUGACACACUAGAAGAGCACCAAGAGGAGGUUACCAGAGACAACAGAAAUCAUGCACAGUUUGGAAACAUGUUCUGUGGCAGAAGGUG